GUUUCAGCCGCCGCGGUAAUACGUAGGGUGCGAGCGUUAUCCGGAAUUAUUGGGCGUAAAGAGCUCGUAGGCGGUUUGUCGCGUCUGUCGUGAAAGUCCGGGGCUUAACCCCGGAUCUGCGGUGGGUACGGGCAGACUAGAGUGCAGUAGGGGAGACUGGAAUUCCUGGUGUAGCGGUGGAAUGCGCAGAUAUCAGGAGGAACACCGAUGGCGAAGGCAGGUCUCUGGGCUGUAACUGACGCUGAGGAGCGAAAGCAUGGGGAGCGAACAGGAUUAGAUACCCUGGUAGUCCAUGCCGUAAACGUUGGGCACUAGGUGUGGGGACCAUUCCACGGUUUCCGCGCCGCAGCUAACGCAUUAAGUGCCCCGCCUGGGGAGUACGGCCGCAAGGCUAAAACUCAAAGGAAUUGACGGGGGCCCGCACAAGCGGCGGAGCAUGCGGAUUAAUUCGAUGCAACGCGAAGAACCUUACCAAGGCUUGACAUGUUCUCGAUCGCCGUAGAGAUACGGUUUCCCCUUUGGGGCGGGUUCACAGGUGGUGCAUGGUUGUCGUCAGCUCGUGUCGUGAGAUGUUGGGUUAAGUCCCGCAACGAGCGCAACCCUCGUUCCAUGUUGCCAGCACGUCGUGGUGGGGACUCAUGGGAGACUGCCGGGGUCAACUCGGAGGAAGGUGAGGACGACGUCAAAUCAUCAUGCCCCUUAUGUCUUGGGCUUCACGCAUGCUACAAUGGCCGGUACAAUGGGUUGCGAUACUGUGAGGUGGAGCUAAUCCCAAAAAGCCGGUCUCAGUUCGGAUUGGGGUCUGCAACUCGACCCCAUGAAGUCGGAGUCGCUAGUAAUCGCAGAUCAGCAACGCUGCGGUGAAUACGUUCCCGGNCCUUGUACACACCGCCCGUCAAAC
rnacentral:rRNA from 1 species